rnacentral:rRNA from 1 species
UAAUUGCGGCUGCUUACACAUGCAAGUCGAACGGUAACAGCGGAAGCUUGCUUCCGGCUGACGAGUGGCGGACGGGUGAGUAACGCGUAGGAAUCUGCCCAGUAGUGGGGGACAACCCGGAGAAAUCCGGGCUAAUACCGCAUACGCCCUACGGGGGAAAGGAGGGGAUCUCUUCGGAGACCUUUCGCUAUUGGAUGAGCUUGCGUUGGAUUAGCUUGUUGGUGGGGUAAUGGCCUACCAAGGCGACGAUCCAUAGCUGGUCUGAGAGGACGACCAGCCACACUGGGACUGAGACACGGCCCAGACUCCUACGGGAGGCAGCAGUGGGGAAUAUUGCACAAUGGGGGAAACCCUGAUGCAGCAAUGCCGCGUGUGUGAAGAAGGCCUGCGGGUUGUAAAGCACUUUCAAUUGGGAAGAAAAGCGAAGGGCUAAUACCUCUUUGUCUUGACGUUACCUUUAGAAGAAGCACCGGCUAACUCCGUGCCAGCAGCCGCGGUAAUACGGAGGGUGCAAGCGUUAAUCGGAAUUACUGGGCGUAAAGGGUGCGUAGGUGGCCCGAUCAGUCAGAUGUGAAAGCCCCGGGCUUAACCUGGGAACUGCAUUUGAUACUGUCGAGCUAGAGUAUGGUAGAGGGAAGUGGAAUUCCGGGUGUAGCGGUGAAAUGCGUAGAUAUCCGGAGGAACACCAGUGGCGAAGGCGACUUCCUGGACCAAUACUGACACUGAGGCACGAAAGCGUGGGUAGCAAACAGGAUUAGAUACCCUGGUAGUCCACGCCGUAAACGAUGUCAACUAGCCGUUGGGAACAUCUAGUUCUUAGUGGCGCAGCUAACGCGCUAAGUUGACCGCCUGGGGAGUACGGGCCGCAAGGUUAAACUCAAGGAAUUGACGGGGGCCCGCACAAGCGGUGGAGCAUGUGUUUAUUCGAUGCACGCGAGACUUACAGCCCUUGACAUCUGCGACUUUCUAGAGAUAGAUUGUGCUCGGACGCAGUGACAGUGCUGCAUGCCUGUCGUCAGCUCGUGUCUGAGAUGUGGUAAGUCCCGUACGAGCGCAUCUGUCUAGUGGCAGCAUUCCGAUGACUCUAAGGAACUGCGUGAUACGAGAGUGAUGACUCAGUCAUCAUGGCUUUAGGCUGUACACCGGUCAAUGCGUCAUAGGUUGAACCGCCA